rnacentral:rRNA from 1 species
CCCCCAGGUGGUGGAUAACCUUCCGAAAGGAAGGCUAAUACAGCAUGGGACCACGGCUUCGCAAGGAGUUGAGGUGAAAGUCGGCCUCUUCAUGAAAGCCGACGCCAGGGGAUGAGCCUGCGGCCCAUCAGCUAGUUGGUAGGGUAAUGGCCUACCAAGGCAAAGACGGGUAGCUGGUCUGAGAGGAUGAUCAGCCACACUGGAACUGAGACACGGUCCAG